rnacentral:lncRNA from 1 species
GAUGGGGGACUGCCUCCUCCAUACGAUGGGGGACUGCCUCCUCCAUACGAUGGGGGACUACCACCUCCAGAUGAUGGUGGAGUACCAUGCGAAGGAGUGUGUGAUGGUGUUGAUGGAGUUGAAGGGUCAUGUGGUGGAGUUCCACAAUUUCCACCCGAAGGCGUUGAUGGUGUUGGUGAAGGGUGGUAACCACCUCCAUGUGAUGGGGUUCCAUGAGAGGGAGGUGUUCCACCUCCUGAAGAUGGUGGUGUGCCAUGUGAACCUGCACUUAGACCAAAUAGAGUCAGCAUGCAUGUCAUUGCAACAAGAAAAGGAAAACAUCAGACAAUUGGUAUGAACCAACAGCUGAAUAUAGUUUUUCAAAGAGAGUGAAACCUGAAGGGGGAGUUCCAGCAUGAGGGUCAGGAACUGGAUAGUAAUUUUUCUGCUCUCCAAGGCCAGUGGAGGUCACUGCAAUGACCAUGUUGUGGGAGAACAAGGCAGCAACCAAAACCCGCAUCAACAAACGAACCUGCUUGCUUCUUUGCCUC